AGUCGAUAUACGAUCGCCACCUUUAUGAGCGGGAUAUAAUGUCGCAGAAAGCAAACUGGUUCGUUAUUUUUAACAUUAAUAACGGCCCGCUUUAGCGCAACAAAAUGAGGUACUUUUAUACUUAUUCCAACGCCGCGCCGCACCUUUCGGAGGAAAUAAGAUCCCCAACUCUACCACCACUUGUGGCAAUGCCGCCGCCGCCGCCACCACCACAAUUUAAAGGGAGAAGAUAUACAAGCCGUGAUGCAAAUGUAUCAGGCCGAAUUCCAGCAGCGGUUUGCUCCGUAACUUCCUACUCCUCCAGCUGAUUCGUUAAUGGUAGCUCGGAACCGUACGAUACGACUUGUUUCCGAAUUGGAUGCCUCGCGCGAAGAAGAAAGCUGUAGGCACAGAGCUAUUGCAAUGUGAGUAGGCAGCGAAAACUUCACGGCAUUUUUCAAG